UAGAGUUUGAUCCUGGCUCAGGAUGAACGCUAGCUACAGGCUUAACACAUGCAAGUCGAGGGGCAGCAGGGCGAUAGCUUGCUAUUGCCGCUGGCGACCGGCGCACGGGUGAGUAACGCGUAUCCAACCUUCCCCUUAGUAGAGGAUAGCCCGGCGAAAGUCGGAUUAAUACUCUAUGUUGUAUUUUGAGGACAUCUGACGAAUACCAAAGAUUUAUCGCUAAGGGAUGGGGAUGCGUCUGAUUAGCUUGUCGGCGGGGUAACGGCCCACCGAGGCGACGAUCAGUAGGGGUUCUGAGAGGAAGGUCCCCCACAUUGGUACUGAGACACGGACCAAACUCCUACGGGAGGCAGCAGUGAGGAAUAUUGGUCAAUGGGCGUAGGCCUGAACCAGCCAAGUAGCGUGCAGGAAGACUGCCCUAUGGGUUGUAAACUGCUUUUAUGCGGGAAUAAAGUCAGGUACGUGUACCUGUUUGCAUGUACCGCAUGAAUAAGGACCGGCUAAUUCCGUGCCAGCAGCCGCGGUAAUACGGAAGGUCCGGGCGUUAUCCGGAUUUAUUGGGUUUAAAGGGAGCGCAGGCGGAGGAUUAAGCGUGACGUGAAAUGUCCCGGCUCAACCGUGGAACUGCGUCGCGAACUGGUUUUCUUGAGUGAGUGCGACGUCGGCGGAAUUCGUGGUGUAGCGGUGAAAUGCUUAGAUAUCACGAAGAACCCCGAUUGCGAAGGCAGCCGACGAGUCCUUAACUGACGCUAAAGCUCGAAAGUGCGGGUAUCGAACAGGAUUAGAUACCCUGGUAGUCCGCACGGUAAACGAUGGAUGCCCGCUGUCUGCGAUACACUGUAGGCGGCCAAGAGAAAUCGUUAAGCAUCCCACCUGGGGAGUACGCCGGCAACGGUGAAACUCAAAGGAAUUGACGGGGGCCCGCACAAGCGGAGGAACAUGUGGUUUAAUUCGAUGAUACGCGAGGAACCUUACCCGGGCUUGAACUGCAGGCGUACGA
rnacentral:rRNA from 1 species